rnacentral:sRNA from 1 species
UCAGCUAAUGAAGACGGUAAAAUAUCCAUC